CAACGGGGCGGCCCCCGAGCGGCCGUCGCUGCCCAAGGCCGGCGGCCCCGGCGGGGGAAAGGCGGCGCGGCAGCAGCAGACGCAGCACCCGCCGCCGGCCCUGCAGAGACCCUGGGAGAAGCUGCGCCUGGAGGAGCGCGAGGCGGAGAAGGAGGCGAGGAAAGUCAGCAAGAGCAUCGACCGGGCGCUCAAAGAGCAGAAGCGGGAGUACAAGCAGACGCACCGCCUGCUGCUACUGGGCAUAGCAGUUAACUUCAAGAUCAGAUCAUGAAAGGUCAUCUUGUGCUGAAACCUCUGUACAGGACAAGCACUGAGCUGGCAUUUUUGUAAUGGCUGAUGUAUUUUUCAGUCAUCUUCUGCCAGGCAUGAGUUAAAACUCUUCUUCCAGACAACCUUCCAACUAGGGAAUAGAUCCUUUUGGAAGGCCAAGUGGCCUCAGAGAGCACUUUGGAGUGGGACACAGUGAAUUGGGACAAGUGCAUCACGCCCUGUUACAGUCAACGCAGCAGCUAAGAACACUAGUUUUCCAUCAGAAAGAGAAGAUAUUCAUAUGUUCAGAACUGUGAAGGCCUAAGUCUAGAGAUGUGAAUGUACAUUCGAUGCUUGGAUAGCAGGUAGUCAAACAAUUCAAUUAUUUUCUUGCUGCCUCAUUUUCUUGAACUUGUCUGUUUGUAGCUGCUCCUCUCAUGGACAACAUUGUCUAGGUGAAGAUAGGUAUUAACUUGUCAUCAAG
ensembl:lncRNA